UUUACUCCCCCAGUGCGCAGGCGCGGGAACGAAGCCUCUGGUUCUUAAAGACGCAGGAAGGAGUUGACCUAUUUGUGUCGGGGUUCUUCUUCGCAUAGGGUUGGUUCAUGACGACGGCCCAGGCUCGGUUCUGUGAAGACCAAGCGUCAAGGUGCUCAGCUGACCCCUGUGGCUUGAAUCAUUAUUUUCCUCUACCCUCGGCUUGGCUCUCCUUAAAAAAAAAAAAAAAUCAAUCAUUCGCUCCUUCCUUCCGCAGACACCUAUUGAGCUUGCCUCGUGCUGGGCUGUAUGUAGGGUCACUAUGAGCUCACAGCAUGGCGGUGGAGGCAACCAGGUAUACACACAACCCCCAUAAGGUGAGGCCAAGUGCUAACGGAGAGCAGAGAAGGGACUGACUGCAUCCCCUCUGGGGAAGAGGCAGUGGCCAUGACGGUGUUGUGUUUGAGCUGCAUGUUAAAGAAUGAGGCGUUAGCCAGAGUGAGUCCUGAAGAAAACACUCGAGGCAAAAGGAACAGAGUACAAAUGUAGGGAGGGGUGAAAAGGCCAGGUGUGUUUAGGAAUGGGGAGCGAGCGAGAAUUGUGAAUGAGAAGUGAGAUCCCUUGGGCCUCAGCAUAAACAUCAGUUCCUUGGGGAAGCCUUCCCUUAGCCUCAGACGGGCUCGGAUCCCCUUGCUGUAUGUUCUCAGAGCCUCCUGUAGUUCUGUCAGAAUGCACCUACAUUUAUGUAGAGAGAUCUGUCUCAAGGUGUGAGGUAAAAUGUGAAAUAAGCAUCUCAGUCUCAUUGUGAUUACAAAGGCGUGGUGGGUGGUAGUUCGACUUGUAGCUCUAAAAACACUUAUAGCCCAUGUUUGUUUUUAUUCUGAGAAUGUUGAGAUUGGGGUUAAGCGGGUAAGCAUUUUCUUAGCGGAUUUCCUGUGAUAACAAUUGGGAGUCAUAAGCAGCUUCAGUGGAUCCUGUGAUCACUUGUGGAAUUGAAGACUGUUAUUCCAGCUGGCCCCAGCCGUUAGUCUCAUGACACUUUACUCUUUGCCUCUCACCUCACACCAUGAUAUCUGCUAGCAACCCAGUAGCCACAAUUUCCUCUCUCCACAGGCCAGACUCAAGUCUGUGGUCCAAGCAAGAUCUACUUUCCACAUCUAUAUCUCUCAAAUUUGAAGGGCAGUUCUUGCUAUACACUUGCUCUCCAUACCUCACCUACAAUAGGAAUUAAAAUUUAAUAGGUCUGUGAUAAAUAUUUGUGGAUAAAUGAGAUAGGGCCCUGCUCUCACAGAGGGUACAUUCUAGUUGAGGAAACAGGCCAUAAUAAAUUCAAUACAUACGCAGGAACUCAGUUUGUGAUAAGUAAUUAUGAAGGGAAGAAAUGGAGGUGAUAAAAAGUAACCACAGCAAAGAGGGGCUACUUUAGGUGGAAGAGUAAGUAGUGAUCCAGGUGAGUAAUGACAGUGGCUUUGACUAGGGAGCAGCAGUGGAGAGAGAGAGGUGGUACAGCUUUUGUGGUGGAAUUGGUGAUUGAUUAAAAGGGGGUAAGAGGGAGAGUGAGGGAGAGGAAGAAAUGAAGAAUUCUCAAUUUUCACCUGAGCAACUAGGUGGAUGGUAUCAUUUACUGAAACGGGGGAUACUUGGAAGGCAUGAAUCAAAGUUCCAUUUUGAAGAUGUUAAGUAUGAACAUUUCAGAUCCACACGAAUAUGUCAAAUAAAUUCUGAAGCUAUAAACUCAGGAGUCCUCUACAUAUAAAUGAAGCCACGGGGUUUACAGUGAUUUAGAGAAGAAGCUCAAGUCUGAGCUGUGGGGCCCAGUGUUGUUUAGAAUUCCAGUUGAAAAGGACGAGUCUGCAGGAAAGGGGUCAGAAGGGUCAUCCGGAAAUGUAAGAGAAAAACCAGGAAGUAUUAUACAAAAUACUGGAAGGCAGGAAAGGAGGGUGUUUUGAGACAAAGCAGCUGACAACAUUCAGAGUCUGACCAAUGGAUAGGGAAAAUAUCAGAAUGCCAACCUGUUUUUUUUCUGGUUCCCAUUUGUGUGCUCUGGUUCUGGGGCACUUCCUACGUCACUAGAAAUUCUCAGCUCAGACUUCAGCUUCCCUUGAAUGUGGAUCUACCCUAAAAUAUAGAAAAUGUCUCCAUGCCUAAUCCAGUUAUAUACACACACUCACCAUGCUCAUUCAUCCAAUCAUACAAUUAUUGAGUGCCUAUUAUUUGCCAGGCCUUGAGGAUAAGACAGUGAGGUGGGGAGAACUUAGUCCAGGCACUCAAGAAGCCCUCAAGAGCUUACAGUGUAUCAAAAGCACUACAUAGUUAUAAGCUGAGAUGUGCCAUGAAGGAAAAGCAUAGGGCACCAUGAGAGCCUGUCAGUGUCACCUUGUUUACAGUAUCCAUCUUUCAUACACAGAUCUCCACUGUGCCACAAGGCCACCCUGAACAGACUAGGGGACUGAGUCCUCCUAUAAAUGUGCCUGUUUCCUCUUCUCUACAAUGGAAGGCCAAAAGAUAACUGAAUCACAGGUUCUUAACUAAGGCCCAUGAAUGGGCUUCGGGGAUACACAAAUAAAUGGAAAAGUGUGCUUUUUUUUUUUCCUUGUGGACAGUAAACCCAUAGCUUUCAUCAGAUCCUUCAGAGGUGUUGUGACCCAAAAAAACCCAAGGACCUAAGGAUCAGACAAUUGUGUGAUGUGAGCCAGGACAGAUGACAAAAUGAUGCCCUUUGGAACUAUUUGUUUCUUGGAUACCAUACCCUUCCCUUGACCUUGUCAGCGUGUAGAGUUAUGGAAUAGAAGGCCUGAUCCCUCUUCUAUGGAUGGCUAAGCUUAGUAACUAUAUGAAGGAACCUUGGAGAAAGAAUGGCAGGAAUCUACCAUUGGUGGCCUCUCUCCUGGAACAAAACAAAAAAAGGUUCCCACCCCACAAAGGAAGUCUCUAUUACCCUAGUGUCACCUGCUCCAUGGUCACCUGCCCUGGGUCCACUCCAUCUGAUCCAUUCUUGGCUGCAGUAUAGACAUAAAUGUAUGUCCAUACUGGAGGCAAGAUUGGGAUGUUUAUACAAUGAAAUUUCCAUUAGAAACUAAAGAGAAUGCUCCCCGUCCAAAGAAAGCACUUUGAGAUUAACUGAUGUCUAUCAAUUAGAAAUUCUUGAUUCAGCUUGUCACAAUGUCUAGACAAAAGACAGGUGGUUUGGCAUGUCUUUUGGACAUUAAUAUCCUGUCUCUUCCUUGUCAUUUCUAAAGGGAGAGAUUCCCAUGGUUGCUUCUCUGAGGUCAGGUAGGUUUCCAGCCUUUUCAGAACCUGUGCCUUGGUCUCCUGCCAGUGGUUGGCCAUACUGUGGGAAAGAGAGGCACUUUCUUUGGGAUCUAAAAGGUUUCAGGUACAUGAGUUAGAGGUACGUGUGGGGUAGGAGAGACAAAAAGGCAGAGACAGCAGCCUGUGCAUAGCCAUUGUGUUUUAUUGGAUCUGGUGUAUUUCUUAUUUUACAAAAUAUACAGAGGAGCCAAAAAUGCAAAGCAGCCAACAGUGUUCUGAUGGGAAAGGGAGCUUCCUAGGGGCCCUUGCCCUCAGAUCCUAGCUAGUGGGACAAGCAGGUAUAGUAAGGAGUGGCAGCAUGGCAGGGGUGCUGUUGAUGAUAUGAGACCUGGAUCCUACGAUUCCUGCCUUCUAGGUGUGUUCAGGGGCAUCUCUGGGUAGAUUUAAUAGAGCAAGAGGAGACACUAGAUGGGAAUUGGGGAGGCUCUCUGGGAGGUUGAAAUAAAGCCUGGGUAGAACAAAUAUGCUAAUGAAUGCCCCCUCACUGGGUUUAGAUGCUAUGCCUGUUUCCCUCCUUCCCUUUUCUUCUAAUGCAUCCACUGGGUGGUCCUGACUCACUCUAUGCUGGUAGGCUGAACCUUUGGCAGGAAUCAGCCAGGACAUCUCCCAGCCAUAUUCUUCUGCUGCCAACAUACAAACAGGAAGGAAGGAGAGAAAAAAAUUCUAGGGAUGAGCCAGACUUCACAACCCCAGGAUCUCUUGGUAUACUGAACAUUGUGUGGAACAUUUCUGGGGUGUUUCUAAGGAACCAGGGUCUUCUGAAGAGCCUGGAAACUCAUAUUCUGGUGGCAGACCUGUAGAGCUCAGAGUCAUAGCCUCAGGUCUCACAAUCUCUAGGCCUUUCUGCUUUAUAUCCCAGCUACUUCCUAGGGCCGAGCCACUGCCUGAAGCCCGAGAGUUCUCCCUUGUCCCUCUCCUGUGGAGCUCUCUAAGGCCCUGCUCUGAAAGGCCAAUUAGUGCCAAAGACCUGUCUGAGAAGGGAGUCUUAAGGAAAAUGUUUAUGUUAACAGGGAUGGGGGAAGCACCGUAACAGGAGAAAUUUUGUCUAGUAUCGUGGCUUCUAGAGUGGGGUUUGGAAGUGGAGAACCACUUAAUUCCUUCAGCAGGGGCAUCCUUAGCACUGUCAGGGAGGGGGUGGAGCCAUUGGGAAUUGGGAAUACCAGCUGAUACACUCCGCCCACUCCCUGGCUCCUUCAGCUCCAAUGAUCUGAACCACCGAAUCCCCAGCCUCUUGGAUUCCUACAGGCCCUAGGGCAGGGAUAGGGUGAGGAGAGAGCUAGGAAGAGAAAGAUGAGGUCCAACUGGACUAGGGCUAGAGCAUGGUCCCGCCACAGGACAACUGACCCCCUCUCCUGGUGAACUAGAUGACAUUGUCAAAGAGCUGCAUGGACCUCAUGAUGUUCUCAUCCUGUAGCCAUGGUGUGAGAGAGGCAGAUUGGAGAAAGAAAGAAAAAGAGCUUGUCAGAGGCAGGGAGAGAGACACUGAGUCAUAAAUGAGGACAUUCAGAAAUGCAGAGAGGCAAUGAGGAAGGAGACACCCAGAGAGACCAGAGGUGAAGAAUGGCAGGCCUCCCCCAGUUGUGAAGGAACAGGAUUGGGAGUGGGGGUGAGUUAAGGAGCCUUCUCCUAUAUCAUUGAAUUAGGCCCUGAGUCCAGACCAGGAAUAUGGAGGGAGGGGACCUGUACCUUUUGACAAGAUUCAAUGAAUUCCUCAAUGGUCACCACGCCAUCCUUAUUCCUGUCCAUCUUCUGCAAAAAGGUAGUUUGGAGGGAGGGAGAACAGGAUGGAUGGCGGGAGAGAGGCAGGUAGAAUUCAGGCAAGUUCCCUACUGGGACCUCACCUUCUCUACACUCCAGGGCCCUCCAGCCUACCCAGUCCCAAGCACCUGGAAGAAGCUCUCCACAUGUUCCCUUGGGGCCUCCUCCCGGAGUGCAGGAUAUGUAUACUUGCCCAUCAUGUCAUAGAUGGACUUCAUGAUAUCAAGCAUUUCCUGUUGGACCAAGAAAAAAAGAGGGUCCCUCUUCAGAGCCUCUAGCCUCCAAACCAGGAGGCCUAGGCCCUAGCGCAGGCAUUAGCCUGCUGAUGAUGCAUAUGUGGGUGACAUUUCUUUCCUGUGGGCCUUUUGCACCCCCUUCCAGCUCUCCAGUUGCCUUGCACACCUCCUUGGUGAUGCAGCCGUCCUUGUUGAGGUCAUACAGGUUGAAGGCCCAGUUCAGCCUGUCAUCGAUGCUUCCCCGAAGAAUCACUGACAGACCAGCCACAAAGUCCUGAGGAGGAGGCAGGGAGGAAAACGUGUCUUUAGAGACCCUUUACCCAACCUGCUCUCUGGGGCUGGCCUAUACAUUCUGGCCCUGAAGUUCUAGGCCUCCCGGGCCCACCUCCUCCAGCUUACCUCAAAAUCGACUGAGCCAUCAUGGUUGGUAUCAAAGGCAUUGAAGAGAAAAGUGGCAUAUGUGCUAGAGUCUGUAGAAUAUGUGGGGGACAGUAAGCUUGACUUCCAGACAGCAGAGGGCUUCCUAUCUCUAUGGGGUUCCCCAAGCUUCUCAUCAUUUGGCAUUCCCAGCCCCUCCUGCCCCCCUCAGCCUAGAGAUGAACAGCUGCACCCUUUCAGGCCUGUCCCCUCACCUCCUUGAGGAAAGAACUGGGAGUAAAUCUGCUUGAAGUUCUCCUCAUUGACAAUUCCACUGGGACAUUCCUGGGGAAUGGGGAGACCAAGCUAAAGACAGACAAAACCCCCUUCUACUUACUCUUCUUCCUACCCCUCUCUCACCAUGCCCAGAGAUUCCCAGAGAAGGAAAAAUCUUCAUGGCUCCUGGAGGCUCACCAUGCAGCUUUUCUAAUGGGAGGCAAGACUUCUCCCAGUACACAAAUAAAAUGAGACAAAAUAAAAUAAAUAAAAUACAGAACUAA